GGUACCUGUAUUUUAGACCUUGAGUGCUGGAGUGUCAAAUUGAAAUGCAAAACCGACAAGCACUGAAACACAUUCAAUAAUUUUCCCAUUUUGGAUAAUUAUUGUACUCCAGUCUUUUAAUUAGUUGAGUGACAAUAGGUUAUUUUAGCUUAUUGUAGCAAAAGCUGCUUGGAAUUUUUGAUAAAAAAUUUUAGACUUUCCAAAACUGAUAUCAUUUAUAUGGGAUAAGACUUUCAUGUUAAUGUUGAGGUAUUAUCAACUAGCAAGGAGAUGGUUAUGCGAAUAUUAUAAACUUUUUCACUUGUUCCGUUGUCUUAGAAAUGUCAUGCUAAGAGCUGUGUUCCUCUGCACAAACUGUUCAGCACAACAUUUACAUGAAGAUACC
rnacentral:lncRNA from 1 species